AGCUACCAUGCAGUCGGACGGUAGCACAGAGAGCUUGCUCUUGGGUGACGAGUGGCGGACGGGUGAGUAAUGUCUGGGGAUCUGCCCGAUAGAGGGGGAUAACCACUGGAAACGGUGGCUAAUACCGCAUAACGUCGCAAGACCAAAGAGGGGGACCUUCGGGCCUCUCACUAUCGGAUGAACCCAGAUGGGAUUAGCUAGUAGGCGGGGUAAUGGCCCACCUAGGCGACGAUCCCUAGCUGGUCUGAGAGGAUGACCAGCCACACUGGAACUGAGACACGGUCCAGACUCCUACGGGAGGCAGCAGUGGGGAAUAUUGCACAAUGGGCGCAAGCCUGAUGCAGCCAUGCCGCGUGUAUGAAGAAGGCCUUCGGGUUGUAAAGUACUUUCAGCGGGGAGGAAGGCGAUGCGGUUAAUAACCUUAUCGAUUGACGUUACCCGCAGAAGAAGCACCGGCUAACUCCGUGCCAGCAGCCGCGGUAAUACGGAGGGUGCAAGCGUUAAUCGGAAUUACUGGGCGUAAAGCGCACGCAGGCGGUCUGUUAAGUCAGAUGUGAAAUCCCCGGGCUUAACCUGGGAACUGCAUUUGAAACUGGCAGGCUUGAGUCUUGUAGAGGGGGGUAGAAUUCCAGGUGUAGCGGUGAAAUGCGUAGAGAUCUGGAGGAAUACCGGUGGCGAAAGCGG
rnacentral:rRNA from 1 species